GCCUCCGUGGUGUAAUGGUCAGCACACUCGGCGCUGAUUCGAGAGGUCCGAGGUUCGAAUCUCGGCGAUGGCA
rnacentral:tRNA from 1 species